rnacentral:rRNA from 1 species
AUUGAACGCUGGCGGCAGGCCUAACACAUGCAAGUCGAGCGGAGGAAGGGAGCUUGCUCCUGGAUUCAGCGGCGGACGGGUGAGUAAUGCCUAGGAAUCUGCCUGGUAGUGGGGGAUAACGUCCGGAAACGGGCGCUAAUACCGCAUACGUCCUGAGGGAGAAAGUGGGGGAUCUUCGGACCUCACGCUAUCAGAUGAGCCUAGGUCGGAUUAGCUAGUUGGUGGGGUAAGGGCCUACCAAGGCGACGAUCCGUAACUGGUCUGAGAGGAUGUUCAGUCACACGGGAACUGAGACACGGUCCAGACUCCUACGGGAGGCAGCAGUGGGGAAUAUUGGACAAUGGGCGAAAGCCUGAUCCAGCCAUGCCGCGUGUGUGAAGAAGGUCUUCGGAUUGUAAAGCACUUUAAGUUGGGAGGAAGGGCAGUAAGUUAAUACCUUGCUGUUUUGACGUUACCAACAGAAUAAGCACCGGCUAACUUCGUG